rnacentral:rRNA from 1 species
CGCAUCUGUGCAUGCAGCAUAUCAAUAACGGAGGAAAAGAAACUAACAAGGAUUCCCCUAGUAACGGCGAGUGAAGCGGGAAGAGCUCAAAUUUGAAAUCUUAAAGGGUUUCCCUUUACGAAUUGUAGUUUAAAGAAGUGUUUUCUGUUGAGGUUUUGGUAAAAGUUCUUUGGAAUAGGACAUCAUAGAGGGUGAGAAUCCCGUAUUUGACCUUUACUUUCAACUUUGUGAUACACUUUCAAAGAGUCGGAUUGUUUGGGAAUGCAGUCCAAAAUGGGUGGUAAAUUUCAUCUAAAGCUAAAUAUUGGCGAGAGACCGAUAACGAACAAGUACCGUGAGGGAAAGAUGAAAAGAACUUUGAAAAGAGAGUUAAACAGUACGUGAAAUUGUCAAAAGGGAAGCGUUUGACACCAGUGUUGUUUUUCUGAAAAUCAAUUAAAGAACUGUUUAUGCUAAGUUGUUUAGACUUUAUCAGCUAACUGUUUAGUUUUGAGCUUUUCUUUAAUGCACUUUUCAGUUAACAAGUCAACAUCAAUUUCUUUUGCUGUAAAAAAGCUUGAGGAAGGUGGCUUGAGAUUCGUCUUAAGUGUUUAUAGCCUCUUGCCUAUGCAGUCGGAGAGAUUGAGGUCUGCAGCGUAGAUCCUUCGGGGCUAAAUACAUUUGUGCUAAGUUAUAACAUUUUAUAGACAACUUGUUGACUAUGAUUUGUCUUGUAGCUUACUCGCUUAUGUUAUUUUACCUACGCUUAGGAUGUUGAGCGCAUGUCUCUCUCU